rnacentral:lncRNA from 1 species
CUUGCGCCUACAUCCACUUCUCAAGUCCUUAUUUGGGAAUUCAAUCCAUUAAAAAGAUUUCAAGAUACAACACGUCGGAUAACCCCGAUCCUUGCUAUCCAAGCAAGAACACUUAUUUUUCGGGUACAAGCCAACUCACACACACUCCGAUUUCAGGUUCGGAUCAACCUAUCCGAGUUUUGGAACCUCCCAAAACUUAAAACCCAAAAUACAAUAGCAA